ensembl:lncRNA
CCAAAUGUUGAGUGUUAGCAUCAUGCUAAGGAUGGUUCAUAGAUAUUUGCAUUGAAUCCCUGCAAUUACUGUCUGAAAUGGAAAUAACUUGCUAUCUUACUUCAAGCUCCUGCUUUGACUACCACACUCUACUGCUUCCAACAAAGGGUUUUUUGUGUGUUUUUUUUUUUUUUUUUUCCCCAAGGAACCAUUGUUUGGGGGCAUAGCCUCUAGUUCAGAGGGAUACUUAGAAACGGAAAAUGUUUCCUUUACUUGUCAAAGAAGUUGUUGGGAAAUCUAUAGGCCAGGGUAAAGGAAGUACAUGGCUCAUUAGCAGCAGAAGAAAUACAGAUUAAGCCAGUUGGUCUUAUUACAUUUCUAUAAUAGGGGUAGAGCAGGCCACGCAGUCAUUAUCUGGACACGCUUAGCACUGUUCUCGCGAGACCCUGAGCACUGUUCUCGCGAGACCCUGAGCUCUGAGGUUUGAGGAUCAGCUCUACUAACAGUCAGCUUCACUGUGGUCCUCGUGGCAGAGAGUGUAGUGUGAGGUGGAUUGCAGCCUUCUCCUGAAGCCCUCCAGGCCUAGAGGCCAGCAGAACAGAGAACAACAUUUUAUGGUGGAGGUUUACCGGAAUACUCUGAGCCAACCAUGACCUGACCUCAAGAACAAAAGAUCUGACACCAAGAGCUUGAACAUCUGGAAGUUCAUGGUUCACAUAUUGCUGAUGCCUGGCUUGGAGAAUUUUGAACAUUACUUUGCUAGCGUGUGAGAUGAGUGCCAUUGUGUGGUAGUUUGAACAUUGUUUGGUGGCCAAGAGGAGCUUCCCCUUACCCAAGUUCAGGGGUGGUGGUGGAGAGGAGCUACCCCACGCCCGAGGUCAGUGGCAGCGGCUGAGAAGAGCUACCCCAUGGUGAGGUCAGGGGCAGCAGCCUAGAGGAGCAACCCCACGUCCAAGGAGCGGAGGCUGCACAGGCGCAGGAGGGCUGAGAGGAGCUACUUCACGUUCAAGAUCAGGAAGGGCAGCCGUGAGGAGAUACCCCCAUCCAAGGCAAGGAGCAGUGGCUGCGCUCUGCUGGAGCGGCUGUGAAGAGAUACCCCACGUCCAAGAAUCUUUAAGGUUACAAGAAUCAUGCACUAGAGGCUAUUUCUCCUUGUUUCAGAAAGAUGAGGAACUUGAUCAGAAGAGUGAGAGGUUCACUCUGGAAUUCUCUCAUGGGACUCUUCAAUUAAGUUGUUGUGACAUUUAAUACAACCCUCAUGAUUUAUGAGAAGUCAGAGAAUCCUGGGGAUCUUCCUGACCCAGGGAUCAAACCUGCAUCUCUUAUGUCUCCUGCAUUGGAAGAUGGAUUCUUUACUGCUAGCGCCACCUGGGAAGCCCAGUAACCUCUGAUAUACCUCCAAAUCAAAAGCAGCCUUCAUGGAUAUUGAAUGCUUAUAG